CUAGACAUUGUCGGAAUUGGAAUGAAAUUGUGAGAUCUUGGUUUUAAAAUAAAAUAUCAUACUUUUAUUUCGAAUGUUUUCGAUUUUCAACAAUCAUUUUAUACAACUAAAUUUUCAAGUUUCGAGGACGAAACUUUUUCUAAGGGGGUAAGAAUGUAAUACCCCGAAUAUUUAAAACAUGAUUAAUUAUGCUAAAUUAUUUUUAUUUUAGCUUAAAACCGUUUUAAAUCCUAAUUUCAAAUUACGAUUUUAAUUAACGAAGUUUUAUGUCGCUUGAAUUUUAAUAUUGUUGCACGAUUUAUUUUUAUUUUUUUUAGAAAUUUAAUAUUUACGAGCUUAAGCUACCUCUUUGAAUCUUAAUUAUUCCGUAAGUUAUAAAGGAUUUUAAUAAUUUUGAACGUUCCUAUGUUAUUUGGAAACUAAAUUUCUUUUUUUAUGUUAAUGAUAUUUUAUAAAGAAUUACUUCAAAAUCUGGUUUUAAUUAAACAUUUCUACUUAUAUAAAUUCCUAAAUAUAGCAAAUGAAUUUCUGAAUUUUACCAAACCUUAUAAAAUAAUCCAAAAUGCUAUAAAGUCCAAAAAAAAAAAAAAAAAAAAAAAAAAGAAGACACUCAGCCCCUAGCUUCCUCCCCCUUCUCCCACGUGUAUGUGUAGAACAAGGGUCAAAAUAUACUUGUUUCUUUGACUCCUCUUUACCCCAAAUUCAGUCCAAGUUCAUUUUCGUGCCCCCCAAGUAUCUCUCCUUCUUCCUUACUCUACUUUCAUGGUGAGGUCAUGGGUGAUGCCCAUUGAGUUCCAAUUACCUUAUAAAUAAAGGAGAAAUCUGCUCUCCAUUUGCACAACAAUCAAUUUCCAAAGAAAAGAUGAAUUUAUACAGAGUACUCCACAUAACCACUCGCCUCCCUUCCUCUGUUCUCACGCACAACCACCAUCACCACCGCGGCUCUGCCGCCGGCCAACCUGAUGCCACCACCCUUAAAAUUCCGUUCUCCACCCCCAGAAUAUGCUCAUUCACUACUGACAAAUAUCAAGCUCGAAUCGUAGUUCAGUUGCCGAAACCGAACAUUAACUCACGCACAACCUAUUUUCUCUCUCUCAAUUGACGCGGACCACCACCGCCGGAAACCACCAUCAGCACCAUCCCCUCCGACGUUCUUCUGCCGUCGCGCCACCUAAAAACACCAACCACCUGAGCCCCUCCUUGUGCCGCCAUUGCCUCUCGGACCUUCCUCCUUCCGUGCUUCAGUUCUGUUCUACCAAAUAGUUAAUGGAUUUUGAAAUCAAUUUCCCAAAUUGAAGUGUUGUCAGCACCUUUAUUUCUAAAUAAAGUCAACCUACUUUACCUUUAUGACUUUUGUAUAAAAUAGUUCUCGGAGCUCAGGAAGAACGAUCCAUCGAACGGGACGUAUAAACUACGGUUGAGGUACGAAGAAGAUCAUGGGAUGCCUUAGAGUGAGGAUGCAACCAUCAAAGUCACGAUCGAUGUUUAAUAAAGAUAACUAUGUCAUUAGUAAUAAAGGGAUGUAUUAAUUAAACUCUAAGUUUGAUUUCACGAUUUGAGUUAGAUUUUCAAAUUAAUGUUGAAACAUGUUAGAAAUAUUUAUUAAGGUUUACUUAGAUUUUAAUGUAAUUUUUAAAGAAUUAAUCGAAGUGAAGUAUAAUUA